rnacentral:rRNA from 1 species
UACGUAGGGGUGCAAGCGUUGUCCGGAAUUAUUGGGCGUAAAGAGCUCGUAGGCGGUCUGUCGCGUCGGAUGUGAAAACCCAGGGCUCAACCCUGGGCCUGCAUUCGAUACGGGGCAGAACUAGAGUUCGGUAGGGGAGACUGGAAUUCCUGGUGUAGCGGUGAAAUGCGCAGAUAUCAGGAGGAACACCGAUGGCGAAGGCAGGUCUCUGGGCAUUAACUGACGCUGAGAAGCGAAAGCAUGGGGAGCGAACAGG